rnacentral:rRNA from 1 species
GACGAACGCUGGCGGCGUGCUUAACACAUGCAAGUCGAACGGAAAGGCCCUGCUUUUGUGGGGUGCUCGAGUGGCGAACGGGUGAGUAACACGUGAGUAACCUGCCCUUGACUUUGGGAUAACUUCAGGAAACUGGGGCUAAUACCGGAUAGGAGCUCCUGCUGCAUGGUGGGGGUUGGAAAGUUUCGGCGGUUGGGGAUGGACUCGCGGCUUAUCAGCUUGUUGGUGGGGUAGUGGCUUACCAAGGCUUUGACGGGUAGCCGGCCUGAGAGGGUGACCGGCCACAUUGGGACUGAGAUGCGGCCCAGACUCCUACGGGAGGCAGCAGUGGGGAAUAUUGCACAAGGGGCGGAAGCCUGAUGCAGCAACGCCGCGUGCGGGAUAACGGCCUUCGGGUGGUAAACCGCUUUCGCCUGUGACGAAGCGUGAGUGACGGUAAUGGGUAGAGAAGCACCGGCUAACUACGUG